UAUCGACCUCUGGGCCCAGUUGUUCAAAAGUGUCGUUAAGCUAACGCAGUCGUUAAAGUGUCGUUAGAGUGUCGUUAAAUUUAACAAAUUUGUUAACAGUUGUUCAAAAAAUUUAACGACAAAAAUAAUGAUAACGAGUCGUUAACUUUAACAACUUCUGGGAGGUCGAUUAAAUAUUUAAGUUAUUGUUAAACAUGGCCGCCUUUAGACAAGUACCUCACAGAAAAGAAAGGCAUUUUUGCCUAAAAGAUGACCUUUCUUUGAAUUUGUCAAAUGAGGAGUUACGAGAAC
rnacentral:lncRNA from 1 species